AUGGAAAUUCAACAUUAAUAUUAUAAUAUUUAUUUAUAAAUAUUAUAAAAAUAGUGUGCAAUUUUUCCAUAUAAGGACAUUGUAAUCUGUUAAUGUAAUAAAUAUUUAUCAUAAGAUUCAAUAAAUAAAAGUUUAUUCAAAUUAGUUAUUUUCCGAUUUCUAACAUAGAAUAAAUUUAAUUGAAUUUGAUAAAUCAUUGACAGAUUUAUUUAUAUAUAGUGCUUAAAUUCUUAAUUGAAUUUUACAAUAAUUUAUAAAUGUAUUUUCAUUUAUUUAUUUAUUGUAUGCACUUAUAUGAUUAACAAUGCUAUAGAUUCAGGAUACCUUCGGGACCCGUCUUGAAACACGGACCAAGGAGUCUAACAUAUGUGCAAGUCAUUGGGUAUUUUUAAUAAAACCCAAAGGCAAAAUUAACUUAACUGUUUUAAUGGGAUUAGUUUAUAUUUUAUUAUGAAAUAUUAAUUCAAUCCCGGGGCGUUCUAUAUAGUUAUGUAUAAUAAUAUUUAUAUUAUUUAUGCCUCUAACUAGAGCGUACCUUGAGCAUAUAUGCUGU
rnacentral:rRNA from 1 species